UUGGAGGCGCUGGCGGCCGUUUGAGAUGAAAUAGCGCUCUGUUUCCUUGGUUACCGGUGUUUGUCUCGGCUCUUUUCCGGAAAUCAACAGGCUCCUCUUGGAGCUUGAUGUACACACCUGUGUGUGAUAGACCAGGGUUCUCGGCCUUCCCCAAUCAAUAGAAAUUGGAGACGUUUGUUCAGGUGCAAGCAUUGCAGCACUGCAGGAAAUGGUCCCAGGUCCCAGCCUGUCUCAUGUGUAUACCUGGACUCAGAUAUUCAGGGACCAGGUGUUAUUCAUCUGGGAAUCCUCCAGGAUGCUAGAAAGGUUGGUGGCAUGCAUCUUGCCAUGUUUGGCAGCCAGCCUCCAAGAUGGUCCCCAAUGAUCCUCACCUUCCUGACAAGCACGCCCCUGUGUCGUCCCCUCCCACAUGGAAUAGGAUAUCACAGAAAUGACAGAAUGUGACUUCUAAGGAUAGUUCAUAAAAGACAUUGUGGCUUCUACCUUGUUCUUAAGGAUCACUUGGUCUGGGAAAGCCAGCUGCCGUGUCAGGAGGGCACUCAGACAGUAGUGUGAGGAGGUGAGGAAGUGAGGCCUCCUGCCAACAGGCAGCACAAACUCACCAGCUAUGUGAGUGAACCAUCUUACAAUUAGAUUUUCCAGCCCUACUCAAGCCUUCAGAUGACUACAGCCCAGCCAACACAAUGACUGCAACCUCAUGAGAGACCCCAGCCAGAACAACCUAGCUAAGCUGCUCCCCAAUUCCUGAUUCACAGAAACGUGUAAGAUGGUGUUCUGUUGUUGUCGUUUUAAGCCUUUAAGUUUAGGGGUAACUUUUUAUGCAGCAACAGAUAACCAAUACAGCCUUGAAUAGUUCGUUACUAAUUUAUUUGAUUGAAAGAUACACACAAAUCUUCCCAAAGAUCUAUUAGAUUAUUAAGAACUAUAGGAGAGGAAAUUGUAUAACUUCCUUUAAAAAGAAUAUCUAAAUGAUAGCUAAGCUAUCUGGUAUGUAUCUGCCUUUCGAAUUCAUUCUAGAACUUCAAGUGCCUACUUCCUAUUAUUUUUGGAGUGCCUAAAAAAAGGGAUAAUUGUGGAAUAUAUAAGAACAAAGAUUUGUUAUAUAGUUACGUGUAGCUGGUAUAGUUAAUUUCUAAAUGAUUAAUGUACCUUCAAAUGUUUAUUCCUUAAAAUACAAUAAAUCAAACCAUGAAUAUUCAUCAAUAGGGUCUCAUUUACUAGAGUUUCAAAUAUGUCUUUGAGCAAUAAGCCUUUUUUUUUUUUGGUGGACAAACACCUUUAUUCUGACUGUGUCCCAAAUUCCCUAGGGCAAGAGAAACAGGUUGGUGUGGUGAACAAUGGGUUUUUAAACCACCAAGUGUUUAUUUGCUCAUCUCCACAAACGUGCGCCUGCUAUGGGUGCAAGAAGCACUGGCCUAAGGUCUCUAGUGUGGGAUGACGAGCAACUGGAGAAGGCUAAAUGGAUGCUCAUUAAGAAUGAGACACAGGACUAACAACUCUGGUCCUAGAGUCCCUCCCACAUAUAAAGCCAGCUUCUUCCAGUUGUGAGCAUCUUGGGGAAGGUUACUGCAUCUGCCAAAAGUUCAGGAGAUCCUAUGGGGUUACUCCUUGGGAAUCGAGAACUGCUAUCAUCAUAUCUUCUGCACUUACAAAGAAGUUUUAAUGAGAGAGAGAGAGAGAGAGAGAGAGAGAGAGAAGUAGUUGCUGAAUUCCCUGGGGUUGAAAUCAUGUCAAGUUUCUUGACAAACUCCUCACAAUCGUUUCCAAUGCAAAGAAGAUAGAAAUUUCUUAUAUGUCUCCAGUGCCCCCUGCUAUGUGAGAAUUCAACUCAAUUCUAAAUCUAUGUUUGGUACUUUUC